rnacentral:rRNA from 1 species
CCUACGGGAUGCUGCAGUAGGGAAUCUUCCACAAUGGGCGAAAGCCUGAUGGAGCAACGCCGCGUGGGUGAAGAAGGUCUUCGGAUCGUAAAACCCUGUUGUUAGAGAAGAAAGUGCGUGAGAGUAACUGUUCACGUUUCGACGGUAUCUAACCAGAAAGCCACGGCUAACUACGUGCCAGCAGCCGCGGUAAUACGUAGGUGGCAAGCGUUAUCCGGAUUUAUUGGGCGUAAAGGGAACGCAGGCGGUCUUGUAAGUCUGAUGUGAAAGCCUUCGGCUUAACCGGAGUAGUGCAUUGGAAACUGGGAGACGUGAGUGCAGAAGAGGAGAGUGGAACUCCAUGUGUAGCGGUGAAAUGCGUAGAUAUAUGGAAGAACACCAGUGGCGAAAGCGGCUCUCUGGUCUGUAACUGACGCUGAGGUUCGAAAGCGUGGGUAGCAAACAGGAUUAGAUACCCGGGUAGUC